AUCCAACUGACGAGUCCUAAACAGGACAAAACGCGCGUCUUGGAU
rnacentral:hammerhead_ribozyme from 1 species